rnacentral:tRNA from 1 species
GCGCUCGUAGCUCAAUGGACAGAGCACCUGGUUACGAACCAGGGGGUUGGAGGUUCGAGUCCUCCCGUGCGCACCA